AAUCAGCUAGGGAAUCAUUUUUAAUUCCCCAAAUUCCCUUCUUGCUAAGCGGUGGCCGACCUCAAUUAAUUCAAGGAAAUUUAAUCAGCCUUGAAGAGUUCAAAUAAAAUAGAACUCUUUUAGGUUGAAGCUGUUUUUAUGCAAUGGGAUCAGCUAGGAUAAAGGGGAUAGGAAUGAAUUAUUUUAAUUUUUUGCUGGAGGCCGUUAAUUCUUCCAUAAAAAGAGGCGUACAACAGUUUUAAAAGAGCAGUCGAACAGCAGAGGAAAGUAGCAGAAAAGUGUGGCACUCGAGCAAAGGAAAAUCUGAAAUUGAAUGAGCAAAAGCCGAAUCAGAAAUCUAAGUAGCAGCCCAGAAUUUCAACUAAUCAAGAGAAGAGAAGCUCGACGAUUUGGGAAUUUUUUCUUCUCCAAAAUUCAGUUUCAAAGGACUUGUGCUGGGUGGAUUAAGGCGUCAAUGACUAAGCAUUAUUCUUCUCUUGAUAUUUUCAUCUCAGCAGUUUUAAUUUGAGCCAAAGCUUAUUUGUUA